ensembl:snoRNA
ACCCCCUGGCAGUGGGCAAAGAGACACUUCGUUGGUGGUGGUGGCUCUUAUAUCAGUCAGGGGCAGAAUAUGUGAUGAUCCUUUGUUCAUCCUAGCUUGAUGCCUGGAUCAGUGGCCAAAGCUGUUUCAUGCCUAGGACACAGAA